AUGUUGCCGUGCCACCUCCGCACCAUAACCUCGGGGCUCCCUCUUUUCUUCCACCGCCCACCGCCAUUGCUUCCCAGGGUCAGCACCAUGGCCACCUGGUUGUACCAAACAUCACCCCAUCUACACUGCGCCUUUUGCGGACGACGAUGGUCAGGACCUUGUACUCUCCUGUGGAGGGCCCCCUCCCGAGCGUGCACGUCAAGGCCCCGCGUGGCCAGUCGGGAAGGCGGCUGCCGCGCCGGUGGCCAUGUCGAGCACGCGGAGGCGCUGGUCCAUCCUUCCGACGAGGCAGGCCAGCUCGCCGUUCGCGCACAUCCCGUGCAGGGAGCACUGGUCCGCGGCGGUGUGGCCCGUUAUCUUCUUGAUCACGUUGCCGAUGGUGUCGAGGAGGUUGACGCCCAUCGCCAUGCCGUCAACGUCCUCCUGGAGCUGCACCCCCUCGAGGUACAGGAGGCUGUCGUCGUCGGCUUCGUUGUCAUCAGCGGGCGACGUCGUGGAGAGGUCCGGUAG
rnacentral:rRNA from 1 species